UUCCGGUUGAUCCUGCCGGAGGUCACUGCUAUUGGGAUUCGACUAAGCCAUGCGAGUCGUUCGAGCUAUGUGGGGCAGACGGCUCAGUAACACGUAGAUAAUUUGCCCUUAGGUGGAGGAUACCCUCGGGAAACUGAGAAUAAUACUCCAUAGAUCUAGACUGCUGGAAUGCUUUUAGAUUGAAAGGGUUGGACGCCUAAGGAUAAGUCUGCGGACUAUCAGGUUGUAGUUAGGGUAAUUACCUGACUAGCCUACGACGGAUACGGGUUGUGAGAGCACUAGCCCGGAGAUGAUAUCUGAGACACGAUAUCAGGCCCUACGGGGCGCAGCAGGCGCGAAAACUUCGCACUGUGCGAAAGCACGACGAGGGAAUCCCAAGUGCUGGCUCGUAAGGUCAGCUGUUUCUUUGUCUAAAAAACAGAGAGAGUAAGGGCUGGGUAAGAUCGGGUGCCAGCCGCCGCGGUAAUACCUGCAGCUCAAGUGGUGGCCGUUAUUGUUGGGCCUAAAACGUCCGUAGCCGGUUUAUUAAAUGCCUGGGUAAAUCGGGCCGCUUAACGGUUCGAAUUCCGGGUAGACUGAUAGACUUGGGACCGGGAGAGGCUAGAGGUACUCCUGGGGUAGAGGUGAAAUUCUGUAAUCCUAGGGGGACCACCAGUGGCGAAGGCGUCUAGCUAGAACGGGUCUGACGGUGAGGAACGAAGCCCUGGGGCGCAAACCGGAUUAGAUACCCGGGUAGUCCAGGGUGUAAACGCUGCUUGCUUGAUGUUAGUUGGGCUCCGAGCCCAAUUAGUGUCGGAGAGAAGUUGUUAAGCAAGCUGCCUGGGAAGUACGAUCGCAAGAUUGAAACUUAAAGGAAUUGGCGGGGGAGCACCACAAGGGGUGAAGGCUGCGGUUCAAUUGGAUUCAACGCCGGA
rnacentral:rRNA from 1 species